GGGUUGUGAGGUUAAGCGACUAAGCGUACACGGUGGAUGCCCUGGCAGUCAGAGGCGAUGAAGGGCGUGCUAAUCUGCGAUAAGCGCCGGUAAGGUGAUAUGAACCGUUAUAACCGGCGAUACCCGAAUGGGGAAACCCAGUGUGACUCGUCACACUAUCAUUAACUGAAUCCAUAGGUUAAUGAGGCGAACCGGGGGAACUGAAACAUCUAAGUACCCCGAGGAAAAGAAAUCAACCGAGAUUCCCCCAGUAGCGGCGAGCGAACGGGGAGGAGCCCAGAGCCUGAAUCAGCAUGUGUGUUAGUGGAAGUGUCUGGAAAGGCGCGCGAUACAGGGUGACAGCCCCGUACACAAAAGCGCAUGUGCUGUGAGCUCGAUGAGUAGGGCGGGACACGUGGUAUCCUGUCUGAAUAUGGGGGGACCAUCCUCCAAGGCUAAAUACUCCUGACUGACCGAUAGUGAACCAGUACCGUGAGGGAAAGGCGAAAAGAACCCCGGCGAGGGGAGUGAAAAAGAACCUGAAACCGUGUACGUACAAGCAGUGGGAGCACAGGUUUACCUGUGUGACUGCGUACCUUUUGUAUAAUGGGUCAGCGACUUAUAUUCUGUAGCAAGGUUAACCGAAUAGGGGAGCCGGAGGGAAACCGAGUCUUAACCGGGCGUUAAGUUGCAGGGUAUAGACCCGAAACCCGGUGAUCUAGCCAUGGGCAGGUUGAAGGUUGGGUAACACUAACUGGAGGACCGAACCGACUAAUGUUGAAAAAUUAGCGGAUGACCUGUGGCUGGGGGUGAAAGGCCAAUCAAACCGGGAGAUAGCUGGUUCUCCCCGAAAGCUAUUUAGGUAGCGCCUCGUGAAUUCAUCUCCGGGGGUAGAGCACUGUUUCGGCUAGGGGGCCAUCCCGGCUUACCAACCCGAUGCAAACUGCGAAUACCGGAGAAUGUUAUCACGGGAGACACACGGCGGGUGCUAACGUCCGUCGUGAAGAGGGAAACAACCCAGACCGCCAGCUAAGGUCCCAAAGUCAUGGUUAAGUGGGAAACGAUGUGGGAAGGCCCAGACAGCCAGGAUGUUGGCUUAGAAGCAGCCAUCAUUUAAAGAAAGCGUAAUAGCUCACUGGUCGAGUCGGCCUGCGCGGAAGAUGUAACGGGGCUAAACCAUGCACCGAAGCUGCGGCAGCGAACGUAUCACUUAAAGCGAUUCAGCGGGUUACGAUUGACGGAGCGAAGCGACGUCAAAGCGUAUACAAAGUCGAGUCGGUUUAAGGAUACGUUCGUUGGGUAGGGGAGCGUUCUGUAAGCCUGUGAAGGUGGCCUGUGAGGG
rnacentral:rRNA from 1 species